AACGAUGUCAUAGAUUUCUGCUCCUCUUCGCUUUUAAUGAAUAACGUGACCGUUAACGCAAGUAACUCUUAUUUAUUGUCCACCCCUUUUCUUUUUCCUCAAGGAAAAGACUCUUCCAAAUGCCACCACAUGAACAGCUCUGCGGAAGCCCGUGGAAAGUUAAACUAUUUAACGUGAAAUCCAUUAACUGGAAUAAUUGAGUUUCUUUAUUUUUACAAUAAAUUCACUGAGUAAAUAAUUUGGAGCUGGAAUUCUGAGCUUUGUGUUUGGACUAUCGGAUCAGUAGCUAAAGGACAGUGCUAGGAAGGAAUAUUUAUUUAAAUCUAGUUAAUUUGUCAGUUGGGUUUCUCGCCAAGAGGAAAAAAAAAUGUUUAAAAAUCCUUCCAGAGUCUAACUUCCAGCCAGGACAGAAAUGUUUAGAAUGGUGCCUAAGCCCCAUUGCCGUAAACAUGGCUUUGUCUGAGGACCCCACCAUCAGGAAGGCAUUAGCUUGUGAAACCUGCCCCUACCCCCUACCCCCGAUCCCCGACCCCCACCAUCUCAUUUCACCUUGCAUGUGAGACAGCAAAACAAAGAUCCACAAACUGUGUGAACUAAUUAAUAUGCUGGCUGCUACCUUGCAUAAAUUAAUGAUUUGAUCACACGGGUGUUUCAUGAGGUUACAUCUGUGAAUAGCCUGUUUUCCACAUGUAAAUUUGUGCCUUACACUCUGAGUUGUAUACACUUGUAAACUGUCGUUAUGAUCAACUUUCUUUUCCUACUUGAAAUAAAGGCAGAUAUUUAUUUAAACCCUGCCCUCCAUUCAGCCCUCUGGAAGACUGGAGACAAGCAAAUGGAACAGACACGGUAGCGAUGGUUGUAAUGCUGAAGGCUGGGUGAUACCCUUCAGUUCUCCCUGCCUUCCCUUGUGCCAACGCCAGCCACCCUUUGGCCAUGCUGCAGAGCAUGGACCUCCAGUGUUGUGGGUGGAAAAAACCCCUUUCCCUUAUAUUCCCAGAUCAUUUCAAUUUGGUGACAUCUUCCUGAGCCAGCCGAGAAAGGACUGUGUUCACUGACUGGAGAAUCUUGCUGCGGUGGUUAGGGAGGCAACUGGGAGGCGUCUCCGAGCUGUGCCUUCAGCACACCCAGGCGAUACACAGAGAAUCAACCAGAAAAUAGACCAGGCAGGCUGGUCCCUGCUGUGAUUAAUGGGUACCCCAAAGUACAAACUAACGACAAUGGAUGCUGAAAAAUCCAUUUCUGGGGCAAAAGUAUUUUUUUGUUUAUUUGUUUCUGUUUUUUUUUUUUUAAUUCUUUUAUCUGUUUGUUGUUUGUAGAGGGUUGGGAGGGGUAGUGUGUGGUUUUGUUUUUUGCUUUUUUUGUUUUUCCCCUCCCUUGGUUUUCAUUUGCUAAAGCACACAGAAGGCACCUUUGUUUACUCUAUCAUGAACAAAAGAAUUGUCUGCACACUGUAAUCCGUGAGCACUGUUUCCAUAUAAACAGUUUAUUUGGUGGUCUCUUGGUCUCUUUUCUUUUUCCAGUUUGAUCUAGGUUUUGUUUUGUCUUUAAAAUAAAACAACAAUAAUAAUAAUAAUAAAACUUUCAGAAAAAAAAAGAUUGGCAAGAACAAAUUCGAAUUGGUUAUUUAAAAUUUCUAUGUUGCACCCGCCGUCCGAGCAGUCCUGCAGAGCCCACGGUGUACAGCCGAGAACAGGUGUAUAGCCCUUUGUUCCAAGACUUGCCUCGGACCAGCUAGACUGUUGUUUGAGAUACAUAAGAUAUCACUGGUUUUGUUUUGCUCUUUAGAGGAGUCAUUGUUCAUGGUCUGUAACCAUUGCACCCUGAAGCCAGAAAGGCUUUUCUAGAAACAGAUGGUGUCUUCUCUAUUUCCUUUUCUUCACAAAUACAAAAAUGAAAAGGAAGGUGCCUGUCAGCCACCCCAUACCCUCUCCUCCCUUUUGACUCCCAAGAGUAUUACCCCAACCUCAUGCCCAUGUUAAUGGGCAUCAUUGCCUCAGUUGUGUUACGGAGACCCAUGUCAAAACCCACAUUCCUACACCCCACACCCCGCUCCUUUCGGUGUCCCACAUGUAUUGAGCUGGUCUUCUGCUUUUCCCUGUCCCUCUCCCUUUCUGCCCUGACCUUGCAUUCGGGGGUAGGGAGGAGAUUGCCCAUGAACCUGAGCGUGCCUUCGCUUUCCACCCUGGCUAGACAGUGUCGAUGCAACAAACGCAGACUUACAUUGGUUGUAAAGUUGUAAAAAUAUUGUGAUGUCACCAAUUUUCCUUCCGUCUCCACACAUCCUAACAUCUGAUUCACAGUUUAAUGUAUGUAGUUUAAAAGAAAAGGAGAGAGAGGAUGAAAAAGAAAGGGGGAAGAGCGGAAAAAUCAAGGGAUAUGGCUCUAUUACUUAAGAGUAAUAAAAUCAGACUGUUCUACG
rnacentral:lncRNA from 1 species